rnacentral:rRNA from 1 species
CCCUAAAUCUUGAUACUUACUAUACUAAAGUAUCCGCCUGAGAACUACGAGCACAAACGCUUAAAACUCUAAGGACUUGGCGGUGCCCCAAACCCACCUAGAGGAGCCUGUCCUAUAAUCGAUAAUCCACGAUACACCCAACCGCCCCUUGCCAAAACAGCCUACAUACCGCCGUCGCCAGCUCACCUCCACUGAGAGUACAACAGUGAGCACAAUAGUCUUAACCCACUAGCAAGACAGGACAAGGUAUAGCACAUGGGGCGGAAGAGAUGGGCUACAUUUACUAAAAUAGAAGAACAACGGAAAGGGAUGUGAAAACAAUCCCUAGAAGGCGGAUUUAGCAGUAAAGCGGAACAAUACAGACCCC